AAUACUAACAGUCCGAUCAGACAUGUAAAACCGGAAAUCAUAAAACCGGUAAAAAACCGUUGAACCGGAUGAGAACCGGCCGGUCAGACCGAAUCGGAACCCGGCCGGUUUACACAAAAAAGGGAAGCUCAUUCGUUUCUUUCUCCCUUUCUCCCUUUCUUUCUUUGAAUCAGAGAAAUCACCCAAACCCAACCACAAAACCCUAGCACUGUAAGCCUACACCACCGCCACAAGGAGUGGCAUACUGCCGCCGUCUGUCGCAUUCAAAGUUCGAAAUCCGUCAUCUAGCUUCCCUCGUGCUUCAAAUCUUCAACCCCUGUUCACUGUCACCGAUCGCGGUUGCUUCCUCGAGCUCGGCGUCCGUCGUCUUUGUCUGCUCAGCGCGCUUCCGUCGCCGUUUGUUUUCCGUUCACGUUUGCGUCUUCGUUCGCGUUCUUCGCCAUUCGCGUUCGCUCGGCGUUCACCGUUCGCGUUCACUCGCUGUUCACCGUUCGAGUUCGCAUUUGUCUGGAAGCCACGUUGCUCUGCUUUAAACUCUGCCACCAACCCGCGCGCUCCACUCAGCCGUCGAACUGCUCUCUUUUGUCCCCGCCGUUUAGUGUGAUUAUUGGUUAAUGUUUUGGUUUAGUGUUCUCUCUUUUCUAGAUUUCCCUUCUCCCUGUAUUUCUGCAUGUUGCUGAAUUGGUAAUCAAUAAAUUUGCCUUUUUGCUGUAACUCGGGACUUUACUAGGAUUUGUUAAAUUUGUUGCUGUAACUUGCAUUUGUUGCUGAAUUUGUUGCUUCCCAGUCACAAAAUUAGAACAGAAUGCUCAGUCAGUGUUUGAUUGAUUGGCUUUGCUCACCGAUUGUAUUUGAUGAUAAAUUUUAAAUUGAUAACUUUUAAAUUUUAAAUUUGCACUGCCCAUGUUACUGAUUCACUGUU